GUUUUAUAUUUCUCAUCCCUCGCAAAUAGUUUUAAUCCUAAUGAUACUUCAGUAGGUCCCUCCUUAAUGAUUUACAUUUUAUUGGAUAUGGGGAGUCUGAUAAUUAUACUUUGCCUUAGUUUAUUCUGUUAAAAAUAUGGCCUGAUUCUCAGCCAAUCAAUACCUAACAUUAACUGUAUGUCUCUUGUGUGCCUUGCACUUUGUUAAAUCCAGUAUGAAAUUCAGACAGGUUUAUGUCGCUUUUUCUACCUUCUGGAAAUGAAUCAAGCAGGGAUAAAUCUGAGUACCUCAAAGCCUCACAUUCCUUGACCACCUGGCCUCUGAAGAAUCACUAGUUUCCCUUGGAAGUAAUGCUGCCUUGGAGAUGUCCUGAAUCAAAGACAGAAACUCUAGUUUCUAAAGGCCUCCUUCAGAACAGGAUGGGCAUGGUGGAGUUGCCUUGAGACGGCACCUGUGAUAAUCCCUCUGCUUGUAACAGUUGGAAAAGGAAAAGUCAGAGAAAUUGGAAGCCUGAGAUUGACAAUGCUAUUCUUGACAUCUGAUAGUGAGAACCAUAAGCAAGGACUGGAGAGUGGCCUCUACGAGCUAAGAGCAUACCCUGGCAGACAGACUGAAUCAACAGCCGAUUUGGAUACCAUCAAGACACUUGAAACCUUAUCAUGAGCCAGAUGUCAAGGAAGAGAUUCUGGAAGGAUCCUAAGGACCACCCCGCUUGCAGCCAUGUCAAGACUGAUGCUGAGGAGGACCCCAACUGUCACGAGUAACACCCGUCGACACAGCCACCUACCUGGGGACAGAUCAAGAAGCUGUCACAGAUGGUGGAAGAAAACCUAAGGAAAGUGGGACAAUUAGUCACAAUGAGUAAUUUAAUGAUAGCUAUGAUAGUGGUGAUCACCAUUCCCAUGAGUAUUCCUUCAACAAGGGCUGACACAGAGAACAGUUAUACUUAUUGGGCAUAUUUAUCAAUCUUGGCUGGCAAUAAUGCCUGGAUGUAAUCACUCUAUGACACAGUUACACAUGCUUUCUGAUCUCAGUAUUUACCAUAAUAAAUCUGCUCCUAUAAUUAAGGCAUACCGCCCUCACAAACCUAUUUGUAAACAGGAUUGGACCCAGUCAGAAAAAAUGAACAGUUGUUUGGGAAGAUUUCAUUGCAGAACAGGUGGAGGUGCUGUGCAAUGAUUCCUAUGGAAUCAUUAUUGAUUGGUCCCCUAAGGGGAUGUUUAGCUUAAAUUGCACCCCUCAGUCUGUGUGCCACAGCCACACUAUGUUCAGCUGGUCUGAACAAAACAGUCAGAUGGUAGAAAUGGUAAGAAGUAUGUCAAGAGUUCCUAUUAUCUGGAACCAUGGUGGUAUAGUGGCACCUCAACCUCAAAUGAUAUGGCCCAUUGUAGGAGCUAAACAUAAGGAUUUGUGGAAACUAUUAAUAACUAUUAAUAAGAUACAAAUUUGGGAAAGAAUAAAAAAUCAUCUAGAAGGACACUCUACAAACUUCUCUUUGGAUAUUACAAAAUAAAAAGAAAAAAAUUUAAAGCAUCCCAGGCACACCUGAACUUAAUGCCAGGAACUGGAGUGUUUGAAGGAGCUGCAGACAGAUUAGCAGCUAAUAACCCAUUAAAAUGGAUAAAAACACUUGGAAGCUCUGUGAUUUCAAUGUUGAUUGUGCUUUUAAUCUGUGUUGUUUGUGUUUGUAUAGUCUGCAGAUGCUGAUCCUGACUCCUGCAAGGAGUAGCUCGCCAUGACAAAGCUGCCUUUGCUUUUAUCGCUUUGCAAAUCAAAGAAGGUGGACAUGUUGGGAAUAGGCCCCCAAAUCCGGCCAUAAACUAGCCACAAGACUGGCCAUAAAUUUUGUUUAAAAUCUCUGCAGCAAUGUGACAUGUUCGUGAUGACCAUGUCGUCCAUGCUGGAAGGUUGUUGGUUUACCUGAAUGAGGGCAAGGAACAUCUGGUCCACCCAGGGUGGAAAACCGCUUAAAGGUGUUCUUAAACCACAAAAAUAGCAUGAGUGAUCUGUGCCUUAAGGACAUGCUCCUGCUGCAGAUAACUAGACAGACCCAUACCUUUAUUUCCAAUAAGGAAUACUUUUAGUUAAUCUAUAAUCUAUAGAAACAAUGCUUAUCACUGGCUUGCUGUCAAUAAAUAUGUGGGUAAAACUCUGUUCAUGGUUCUCAGCUCUGAAGGCUGUCAGCCCCCUGAUUUCCCACUCCAUGCUCUAUAUUUCUGUGUGUGUGUGUGUGUCUUUAAUUCCUCUAGCACCGCUGUGUUACAGUCUUAACGACUGAGCUGGUCUCGACACUUUCUAUACUUGCUGAUAUGGUUUGGCUGUGUCCCAGUGCAAAAUAUCAUCUUGAAUUGUAAUCCCUAUAAUUCUCAUGUGUCAAGGGAGAGAUCAAGUGGAGGUAUUUGAAUCAUGGGAGUGGUUUCCCCCAUGCAGCUCUUGUGAUAGUGAGUGAAUUCUCACAAGAUCUGAUGUGUUUUAUAAGUGUGUGGUAGUGCCUCCUGCAUUUAUUCUCCUUCCUACUGCCAUGUAACGAAGGUGCCCUGCUUCCUCUUUGCCUUCUGCCAUAAUUGUAGGUUUCCUGAGGCCUCCCCAGCCAUGCAGAACUGUAAGUCUAUUAAACCUUUUUAUUUUAUAAAUUACCCAGUCUCAGGCAGUUCUUUAUGUCAGUGUGAGAACGAACUAAUACAGUAAAUUGAUACUGGUAGAGUGGGGGUACUUCUAUAAAGAUACAUGAAAAUGUGGAAAUGACUUUGGAACUGGGUAACAGGCAGAGG
rnacentral:lncRNA from 10 species